UUCUGGCUCAGGAUGAACGCUAGCUACAGGCUUAACACAUGCAAGUCGAGGGGCAUCAGGACGAUAGCUUGCUAUUGUCGCUGGCGACCGGCGCACGGGUGAGUAACGCGUAUCCAACCUGGCCCUUAGUAGGGAACAGCCCGGCGAAAGUCGGAUUAAUGCCCUAUGUUUUCCCAUGAGAGCAUUUGAAAGGGAAUAAAGAUUUAUCGCUAAGGGAUGGGGAUGCGUCUGAUUAGGUAGUAGGCGGGGUAACGGCCCACCUAGCCGACGAUCAGUAGGGGUUCUGAGAGGAAGGUCCCCCACAUUGGUACUGAGACACGGACCAAACUCCUACGGGAGGCAGCAGUGAGGAAUAUUGGUCAAUGGGCGAGAGCCUGAACCAGCCAAGUAGCCGUGCAGGAAGACGGCCCUAUGGGUUGUAAACUGCUUUUGUGCGGGAAUAAAGUCAGGGACGCGUCCCUGUUUGCAUGUACCGUACGAAUAAGGACCGGCUAAUUCCGUGCCAGCAGCGGC
rnacentral:rRNA from 1 species